CAGAUGUGAAAGACCCGGGGCUCAACCUCGGAAUUGCAUUUGAAACUGGCAAACUAGAGUACUGUAGAGGGGGGUAGGAAUUUCAGGUGUAGCGGUGAAAUGCGUAGAGAUCUGAAGGAAUACCGGUGGCGAAGGCGGCCCCCUGGACAGAUACUGACACUCAGAUGCGAAAGCGUGGGGAGCAAACAGGAUUAGAUACCCUGGUAG
rnacentral:rRNA from 1 species